AAUAUUAUUUAAUUUUUUUAAUAGUGAUUUUUAAUGAAAGGCAAAUUAGUAAAGAAUAUAAUUUUACAUUAUAAUGAGAAAUAAAGUAUUAUAUCAAUCAUUUAUUUUUGUUACUAAAAUUAAAUUCAGUUUGUUCCUGCAUAAAUCUUUUUAUUACUAAACUGCUUUGGAAUGAAUAUUUUGGGGUCAACAGCAGGAUUAGGGCCAUCUUCGAGAUGCCAUCAGGUAGGUGCGCUAGCGUAGUCCUUUGUUGUAGCAUUAUAUCCCCCUUUUAAAAAAUGUUUGUAAGACGACUGAAAUUUGUAUAAGUUAGUUAUAUAAGUAGUUGAAUAAGAAUUGGUGAGGCUUGGAAAAUAGAAGAGGACAAAGAAGAUGGAAGAGGAUUGCUGGGAAAUAGAAGGAAAGGAGAUAGAAGAUGUUUGAGGAAAGGAGGAGGAUUUUGUUCGCUGUAAAGGAAGUUUUUUGAAUGAAAUUUGGAGCAACUGUAUUGAGAUGUUAUUGGUAUCUUGGACAUCAAGUUUCAUUUAAUUGUUAUUAUACAAGCAUAUCUAUUGGUGGAAAUGUAAAAUGGCAGCUGUUAUAACAACUUGGGUGAAUUAUUAGGAACACCAAAGAAGUUUUGAUAUAAUUUAAACUGGGAAAAAGCUCAUAAAAGACCAGUUUAGGCUGCGGUAGUACCAGGACCUUAAAUUGGCUUCCACAACACAGAUAUCUUUCAAAAAUAAUAUUUGUUCGAGUGAUGUACUGGGCGUUAACAGUUGCUGUUACAAAUCUGCAAAUGAGUUACUACUGUACAUAAGUUUGAAAUGAUAGUGAAAAACUUGUCCACAAUUGGAUUAAUUGGCCUCCAUUACCAUUAUGCUAUAAAAAUUGAGCUAUCCAUACAAAUUGGUGUUAAUGGACGUUUUGGCAGCUGCUUUUAUUAAUCCAAGUUCCAGUUUUCAUGGAAAAUCUUUAAUGGACGCAGAAAAAUGCCAUUUACUGGAUUGACUUCAACUCCUGUUGCCUUUGAAUAAUGGUAUACAACAGGACAAUUGCUUCUGGAAAUCAACAAGUAGUACUAGUUGCAGAUAAUAUAUUAUGGUAGACAUCAAAAAACUUUAAAUGGAAUGAAACUUGCAGGAAAAAUAAAGGAAAACCAUUUUAGACUGUAUACGUAAUAGCUGUUAGAGUGGAUGCAGUUCUUCAUCAAUGUGAGCUAAACAAAUUGAUGGUAAUGGACGUUUUGACAGCUGCUGUCACAACUCUCAACGAACAAGUUGCAGCUUUGAAGGAAAAUUUUUAAUUGGAUUCAGAAAAAUGUCAGUCGUUUCAGGAUGUAAAGUUAAUAGAACCAGGAUUGGACUCGACAUCUGUUGCCUUUUAAUAAUGGUAUACGAAAGGACAAUUGCUAUUAGAAACCGAUAAGACAUACUAGCUGCAAAUAAUAUGUAUGGUGGUCAUAAAAGAGAUUUAAAUGGAAUGAAACUUGUUCAGAAGAAAUCAAGGAAACCCAUUUUGAACUGUUGUUACUUAAUCGCUGUUAGAGUGGAUCCAGUUCUUCAUCAAUGGUAUACGAUGGGACAAUUGCUGUUAAAAAUCCGCAAGCCGUACUAUCUGCAAGUAUUAUAGUGGACAGCAAAAAGCUUUAAAUGGAAUGAAACUUGCAGAAAAAGACUCAGAAAGACCAUUUAGAACUGUACUUAAUAGCUGUUAGUGUGGCCGUAGUCCUUCAUCACUGAUAUCUCCGCAUUUUCUUAACUAUGGAUAUCAAUAGUUGCUCCGACUCCUCACUUUCCUCAUUCACUCAACAUGAACCCAAACUCAAUACUGCUCAAUGCCUCACCAAGGUUCGUUAGCUUCAUUAAUAUUGUUAUUCUUUCAAUAAAUUUCUUUACUGGUUUUUAUCCUCUUCUUAACUAUUGAAAUAUAUCAGGCGUCAUUAUAAUGUUAAUUUUUUGUAAAAUUUUGAUAAUCUGGAUAGAAAUCUUUUUUUUUUCUUAAGCUUUUGCAAUAUAAAAUACUAGUUAAGAGCAAUACACUUUAUUUUAUGAAUAGGACCAUUAUCUCUGUUUAUAUUGCCUUUAUAUUUAUUUAUUUUGAUGCUCUAUUUAUUAUCUAAUAGCCUCUAGUUUGAGGGAUGUUUGAUUAAUUUUAAAUCAUUCAAAUCAAUGCAUUAAUCUUUAUGAAAAAUAUGUUGAGCAAUGUAAUAGUUAUCUACAUAUAUAAAAUGCUAAUGUUUAUCUGUGUCGUCUCUACUGAAGUAACGAUUUGCUCUAGAAAGUUGCUUUUCUUACUAAAAGAUAGCUAAUUGGCUCUUCUAAAAACUGUCGUCGCCGGAUUUUUUGUUUUUCA